UACCAGCACCCCGAGUGGUCGGGACGAUUAUUGGGCCUAAAGCAUCCGUAGCCGGUUCUACAAGUCUUCCGUUAAAUCCACCUGCUUAACAGAUGGGCUGCGGAGGAUACUAUGGAGCUAGGAGGCGGGAGAGGCAAGCGGUACUUAGUGGGUAGGGGUAAAAUCCGUUGAUCCAUUGAAGACCACCAGUGGCGAAGGCGGCUUGCCAGAACGCACUCGACGGUGAGGGAUGAAAGCUGGG
rnacentral:rRNA from 1 species